rnacentral:rRNA from 1 species
UGGGGAAUCUUGGACAAUGGGGGCAACCCUGAUCCAGCCAUGCCGCGUGAGUGAUGAAGGCCUUAGGGUCGUAAAGCUCUUUCGCCUGUGAAGAUAAUGACGGUAGCAGGUAAAGAAACCCCGGCUAACUCCGUGCCAGCAGCCGCGGUAAUACGGAGGGGGUUAGCGUUGUUCGGAAUUACUGGGCGUAAAGCGCACGUAGGCGGACCAGAAAGUUGGGGGUGAAAUCCCGGGGGCUCAACCCCGGAACUGCCUCCAAAACUAUUGGUCUAGAGUUCGAGAGAGGUGAGUGGAAUUCCAAGUGUAGAGGUGAAAUUCGUAGAUAUUUGGAGGAACACCAGUGGCGAAGGCGGCUCACUGGCUCGAUACUGACGCUGAGGUGCGAAAGUGUGGGGAGCAAACAGGAUUAGAUACCCUGGUAGUCCACACCGUAAAACGAUGAAUGCCAGUCGUCGGGUAGCAUGCUAUUCGGUGACACACCUAACGGAUUAAGCAUUCCGCCUGGGGAGUACGGUCGCAAGAUUAAAACUCAAAU